CCACGGCCACUGUCACCUGUGCUGUGGCUGUACUAAAAGAUGGGAGGGCACCCCAUCGCCUCUGUAGGACUGUUGCCAGGUUAGGAAGAGCAUGUGUGUGGCAUCUACAUCACGUUCUUGGUUCACAGUAGAUACUGAAAAACCGGCAGCUCUUAUUUUGUUAGAAAAAAAUGAAAUGAGUAGUGACAUUGCCAAAUUUCUUCCACAGUAAUUAUGAAGAAAUGUAGAAAUGUUUUCAUACAUGUAUAGAAUCCAAUGUGGUAAUGACAUAAUUUUCAGUAGUAAAACUCAUUUAUACUGAACUUCCAUUUGGCAAUAAAAUAUUGGUAUGCUGCUGCUGCUAAGUCGCGUCAGUCGUGUCCAACUCUGUGCGACCCCACAGACGGCAGCCCACCAGGCUCCACCGUCCCUGGGAUUCUCCAGGCAAGAAAUAUUGAUUGGGCUGAGCAAACUGCCCUGGCAAGAGGCCACCAGAAAUUCCAGUUGCAGAAGACUGUAAUCUUCCUUCACAAAAAGGCCUGGAAAGUGCCGCUGCUGCUAAGUCGCUUCCGUUGUGUCCGACUCUGUGCGACCCCAUAGACCGCAGCCCACCAGGCUCCUCCGUCCUUGGGAUUCUCCAGGCAAGAACACUGGAGUGGGUUGCCAGUUCCUUCUCCAAUGCAUGAAAGUGAAAAGUGAGAGUGAAGUCGCUCAGUCUUGUCCGACUCUUCGCGACCGCGUGGACUGCAGCCUACCAGGCUCCUCCGUCCAUGGGAUUUUCCAGGCAAGAGUAUUGGAGUGGGGUGCCAUUGCCUUCUCCAAUGCCCUAUUGCUCUUAAACAUCUCUAACCCUUACUCAAGAAAAGGGCAAAGGUUAAGUAAAAAUGUUUGGCAUAGUCGAUUUCUUAAGAAUAAUAAAAAUGCAUACUCACACUAUGGAUAAACUUUUUAAAGUAUGUUCUGCCUUAUUUUCUGAGGUAUAAAAAUAUUUUAAGGCAAUUUCAAUGAAUCAGAUUUCAAGAAACUACUAGAACAUCUUUUGUGAGUUGCUUUCAUUUUGUCUGAAUUAUGAUAUGUAUUUCAACACUGUGCUCUACCAGAGUAUGUAGGUUUGUCUGUCACUUCACAGCUGUCAAAGGGAAAUUCUUAUUUUAAAUCUCUAUAUCAUCAUUGAAUAGUUCUAAUAAUAAAAGGCCUAAAUUUUAGGUCCUCAGGGAUAUCAAGGUAUCUCAUCUACUGUGUUGUUCAAGCUCUGGCAGCAUGUUGUAAAACAGAUAUGUAAUAAGCAAUAGAGGGUAAG
ensembl:lncRNA